UUGAAGUCCCAAUAGAUCAUUUUAUAGAGCGGUGGUUGCCAUUUUAAAGGGAAAAAAAUUUUGAAAAGAAGGAAGAGCUGGCGCCAGGGCAGAGCUCUGUUGAGCUGAGUGCAUCCAUCUCCAGACACGGAAUCACAGCUCUGUGAGGGCCAGAGCUAUGGAAAUCGGAGGAAAUUGGACUUCACCGUGUUGGUGGCACACCCUGCCACCCUUGCCAGGAAAGGAAACGGGAAAAGGAAUCUGAGAAACCUCAGGACAAUUACAGUUCAUUUCCAUACCCUGACUGACAAUGUACUACCUCCUGCUACGGACCGACGUAAGCCUCUUGUCACACCAAGCUCUUAGGCAAAUGGAAUGGGACCAGAUGCAAGCGAUUUAAUAAGAACUUUGCAUAAGUAAUUAUUUAGUUAUUGAUUGUUGCUUGGAGCUGUAUCAUUCUGAAUGGUUCAAAAGCUUGCAUCCUAAACUAAGUGAAUAAAUUUUGCAGACAAUGUUGUCAAGAAUCAGGAGAGAAAGC
rnacentral:lncRNA from 1 species